CAUCUUAAUUCAUAUUAUACACAGGUUAUUUGCUAAAGAUCUGAUGAUGAAUUUUUAAGAUCAUUUAAUAAGGUUUUGUAAAUAUAUAUUUUUUGUGUUUGAUAUUAUUUAAGAUUUUAACACCGAAGUUAAAUAAUUUAUUAUAUAAAUGCUAAUGUAUUUGUAAACCAAAUAAAUGAUGGUUUUGCACUUUUAUCUUCCACUUUAAUUUGUGUUUUGCUCUGCAUUGUGUUGCUUGCGUAUGAUGGUCCUUGUUUUUUGCUCCAGUUAUUAUGCCACGAACAAGUCGAUCAAGGAAGCUUUCCGAAGAAGAAAAAAAGAAACGCAGACGCGAGCAGAAAAAACUUAGUAUACGCCGUGCGCGGGCCAAAAUGGAUGACGCAGCUCUCGAAGAAAGAAGACGGAAGGAUAGGGAGAGAUACAAAGCUAAAAAACAGCUCGGGCAAUUUAAAACUAUUAAAGACUACACGCCAAGAGAACAAAAGCAGAUAAGAAAAAUAUGGAGAGAAAAAGCAAAAAAGAAACGCGACAAGGAAAAAGCUAAAAAAAAGGGAACGUGAUUUUGUGCAGGAGAACACACCUCCAUCAAGUCCUUCGUUUUCGCGUAUACAAGUUGGCAGAGCAUGGCUACAAGGAAUAGACGACGACUUGUUGCAGAAAAUAAUAAUUUAAAGAGAAGAGUUCUUGAAUUAGAAUCUAAAAUGGCUAAAUAUAGAAUGAGGUGGUUAAGAGCAAGUAAUAAACUGGAAAAGAAAAAACGAUUAAGACUCAAGAGAUAAGAAAAGCAAUCCAUGACUUCUUAGUGCAAGAUGAACACAGCAGAUUAACGUCUGGAAAAAAAGACAAUCACAAGAAGGAAAAUCAAGAAGCAAAUUCGCUUUUUAAAUGACUCACUUUUGAAUUUGCAAAGAUGUUAUUAAUAUGUUUUCAUUCAAGUACGUCUACAGAAGUUGAUUAUCUGUUUUGUGGACAAAUGUCAAAAAAAAUUGUACUGAAUUGGUGUACGUUUUUAUUAUGUUUUGUUUAGGCAUCGAGGAGAACUCCAUUUUAAGUUAAAAAAAAAAAUCUAUUCUUGACCUUAUUAAUAUGAUUAUAAUAAAGUCACAUUUUGCCUUCUGCAGACAACGCAAUCUCACCGUGGACAUAAUAAAACAAAAAACGUGUUUUUUUCCUAAAAUAUCCAAGACUGAUCUCUAGUGAUAUUAUUAUAAGAAUAUUAAUAUGGAACUUUAAAUAAAUACAUAUAACAUUUUAUAAAAAAUUGUGAAGUUUUAUUAUAAAUAUUUAGUAAUGUUCACGUUUUGUGUUUGACCCUUUGUAUCCAGUUUGGACCCGCUGUGCUUUUUAUUUCGUCCUCCCAUCUGUCGUAUGGUCUCCUUUUGUUUCUUUUGCCCACUGCCCCCCUCCAUUCUGUCACUCUUUUGGCCCACCCUAGAUCUUGCAGGCGAGCUAUGUUUCCGGCCCAGUUCCAUUUUAAUGCAAGAGCUUGUGCUAAGCCAUCUGCGGUUCUUUAAACAAUUACUCAGAAAUUGUAAUAUAGUAUUUUGAUAAUUUAAAAUCAUGAUGGCAUGUUAAUGGUUGGUAUUUAUUACAUAAAAUAAAAAGUAUUUAAGAUGUUAAAAGCAUUUCUUAAUCUGUGGUCACAAUAAUCUGCUCCUGUUUCCAUUUGGUUACCAAAAUAAAUUAACGGUUAUAUUUCAGAAAAUGGUUUAACUUACAUGCCGACAUCUGCAACGAGUGGGUUAAUGGUGUAUAAAGAAUAUACGUUUUCAUACAUCGAUAAGAAAAAGAAGUAUUUGUGCUGUUCGAGGCGAAAACAGGGCAAAUGCGAUGCCAAGAUCCGACUGAACGACGAUGGAGAGGUCGUCCUCGCUAAAACUGAUCAUAAUCAUCCACCUCCGAAGUAUUAUAAAGCACCUAAUGGAUUGUAUACCGCGUGGAAUUGAUAUCAGAUGCUUACGGCAAGCCAAUUAUAGUUUACCAGGGAUAUACCUUUCAUGCAUCUCCAGGGAGGGGUAACCUGAUCUGUUCGAAGCGACGUCGGGGCAAAUGCCCAGCCAAACUGAAGGUCGAAGAUGAUGGAGUGACGAUAAUAUAUGCUGACACUAAUCACAAUCACCCGCCCCCGAAAUUUCAUAGAACGACUACUGGGGAAUAUAUCAAGAUAUCAAAUUGAAGAUUUUAUUAGCCUGUAGGCGAGAUUCCGCCAUUGCACGCCAUUGUCGCACACAAAUGUUUCUUCUGGUCUACUCGCUCCAUUAAACUAACAAAUUGUUUUGCAAUUAAGGUUUCCCUGACUUGUCCAUUCUAAACAUUUUCAUUUAUUUAGUUUUUCUUUGUCGUGUAUUAUUGACACUGAUACUUGUUAUUACCGACUUCUUAUAUCUUCAAUUUAUGCAGAAGGUUUUGCGUGUAUUUCCGUCUGCAUAUCUCCUGUCACUUAGAUGAAUUAUUUUAUGGCGUACAUUUGCUCCAUUUGGUUGUUUAUAGACCCUUGUAUACAGUAUACUUAGUUAAACAAUCUUCAUAUGUUUGUAAUGGUAAGAGAGAGAUAGAAGUUUACUCUUCCUAUAGAUUUUAUUUUAUUACAGAAAAUACAAAUAACAGUUAUUUUAUUUUAAUUUCUUUUCAUACUAAUUAAGUAUUAACUUACCUCAAGAAUGCAUACUUAUUUUAAGACAUAUAAAAUAAUACAUAUAUGUUUAUGGUCCACAGAAAGCGCGAGAUUUGUUCAUACAAAAGAACACAGGAAAACGGAUUGGUAUAAAGCACUUUUGAGGGUUGCGGUCAAUAAAAUAUACAACAAGGAAAUCAGUCUGAGACAAGCUUCGCUUACAUAUGAUAUACCAAAGAGUACGUUAUUCGAUAGACUCCAAAAAUUAAAGAAUAAACACAGAAAAAAUAAUUCUUAGCUCGUUAAUAAAUUAGUUGACUCAAAAAGAAUAGUGACGAAAUGGAUAUCUUUUAUGUGAAAAUUAAGUUUUGUAUUACAUAUAUAUUAAUUAUUUUUAUGUGAAAAUUUAAAUUAAGUUUGAGUUUAAUUAAUAAUAAAAAUAUAUUUUAAGUUAGAAAAUAAAUUACUAUAGAUCAUUGAAUUUAUUGAGUAACUUUAGUGUCUCACUCUUUUGCGUGUGGGUGCGAAAGUCUAUGCUUUAAGCGAAAACUCAAAUUGAUAUCAAGAACAUAUUUUUGUACUUACAUUAAUUAUAUUAAAUAGGUUUAAGUGGGUACCAUAAUGCUGUUGGUUGUACAGUUACUUAAAGUCUAUUGGUGAUGUUUUUGUUAGUUUAAAAAUUAUUUUAAAAACAAUUUACUGGGAGUUGAUAAAUAGUUCACGUAUUGUGUUUUCUUUAGAGUUAGUUUAACCGUUUUGUUUUUUUCUUUAAAUAAAGGAAAUAUACCAAGAUGUUCAUAAAAAGCGUUUUAUUUUUUCUACAACCAAAAUGAUUAAAAAAAUAUGUCUCCUUCAAAAAAAGUAACUAAUGUUCUAUUUUCAGACUACCAAAUACUGCCUCUAGCUGGUGGGAAAUCGGUGGUACUUUUUGAAAACUACACUUUUUCAUACCACGUGAGGGGCAGGUCUCGCCUUCAGUGUUCCCAGAAGUUGAGCAAAAAAUGUGGUGCAUUUCUGCGAAUAGAUAGAGCUGGCAACAUUGUUUUUAGUAAUGCUGUCCAUAACCACUAUCCUCCGAGCUGCUUAUUAACUGAUCAAGGGUACUACGUAGUAACUAAAGCCUAUGACUAGAAAAAAAAAAUACUUUGAUGGAUUAAAAUUCAAAAUUAAAUACCAAAGAAUUUGUGAUUUUUGAUGACUUUUUUUGGAGUCAUGGUCUUUCAUAAAUGUUUAUUUUUAUCUUACCAAAUAAAUUGCGAACAUAUCUUGUCUUCUUUUGUUUAUUUUUUAUCGCUUGCCACGUAAUCGUAGGCCUUGCCUUAAAGAACAUCAGGUUGGUAUAUUUUAUUGAAGCAUUAAUGCUUUGAAUUGAUAUUUUUAUAGGUAUCUGCAUGCCUCCCAAACUAAGUCAAGUAAGUACUUAUUUGAAUUUUUCGUGAUCCAUAUUUUUUAUUGUUUUGUUUCAGCGACUUACCAAGUCAUACCCUUAGCUAAGGGCAAAUCAGUGAUCCUUUACAAUAACUACACCUAUUCCUACCACGUUAAAGGCAAGUCUUUACUUCGUUGUUCGCAAAAAAAUAGUGAAAAGUGCCGAGCGUUCAUAAAACUAGGCAAAUGUGGUAAUAUUGUGACUGCGGUGACGAACCAUAUGCAUCUACCCCCGAGGUGCGAGAAGUGUUUGGACGGGACUUACAGAUUCACGAAGUUGAGGAAGGCUUACGGAUCGUUUUAGAGAAAAACUUAAUAUCAUAUGUAAGGCUGGAAACAGUGCUCGACCGACGGUCAGCGCUGACCCGCGUCGAUCGACGUAGCUAUAUCUGUGCAAGUCUACGAACGCGCACACAGCUACGCUGACGGUACGUCCGUGAUUUUGUAUGUGACACACUGCCCGUCCUCCGAGCACUGUUUCCAGCCUAAAAAUAAAAUUAUAUUUAGGGAAAUAGAGUACAAUAUAGGCUACCCGCUAUACGGUUAUUUCCUUUCGUCUCAAUCUAUCCAGGAUGCGUGUGAGUAAUUUUAGCUAUAAGACCGCCCAUUGUGUCACAUAAACCUUUUUAAAAUAUUUUAGUUUUUUUGUUAUAUCAUUGUAAAGAAUAUAUCUAUUGUCUAUGUAUUUCAGUUUUGAUUACCUUUUACUGUUUUGUAUUGAAUAUUUACAUAAAUAAAUGAAUGAGUGUGAAGUGAA